rnacentral:misc_RNA from 1 species
GACGCAAAUGGCGCCGUCGUAUCCCGACGGCAUGCCUGUCUGAGUGUCAUUUUUCACCCAUCUUGCCGUUUGGCGCCCCAGCUGCAAAGCCGGGGUUUGCUGAUACAGCAGCUCUGAGGGCACUCCGCGCUUUCCAGUGCGCGGCGGCCCUUGAAACAUUGCGACAGCGUUGUCUUGGGUGUUACACUAUCCCAAACCGAGCAACCAAGAAAAAGGCCAACAAUGGCCUUUUUUUUCAGUUGGUCACCAAAAUACUUGCCAACGCGUGAGUCACUAAAAUACUCGCUAUUUCUUGCACACACGUUUGCUACUUUUUGGUUUGAUUUAACGAUGGAGGCUUCGGGGUGUAACCGGCAGCGGUCUGCUUGAAAAAAACCAACUUUAAAACCAUGACCUCAGAUCAGACAAGACUACCCGCUGAACUUAA